AUGUGUUGUAACCUUGCUGGCUAUGUCACGAAUUUACAACAAGAUUGUUCUACAAUGGGCGGCUAGGAGAUUCCUUAAUUUUCUUUUCUUAAUCACGGUUUCGUUUAAUUUGUAUUGGUUUUUUUCUUAAUUUUAAGUUUACUUCUAAAUCCAAAAGUUAAUAAUUUAUUUUUAUUUUUGUUUUGGUUCUCCCAGUCGCCCCUAAAGUGGGUAGUUAUGCUUGCAGAUUUAUGACGAAGGAGAAGAUGGACGUGGUGUCAUUUUUGAAACUGAUAUGAGUCGUUACCAUUUGGUUUCUCUCUUUCUCCACCACUCAUAAACAAAGUUGUCUCAGUCUCUCAGAUACAAACAUAUUGCAGGAAGCGGGUGGAAAGGUUAAUGAAGACGAGCACGACCUAACUUGCGAAAAGUGGAGGAAGAGAUAGGCGAAGCGGCAUAUUCUUGCUUGAUUAGCGGAUUUAACAGGGUUUUGUUUCAAGCAUCUGGACGGCUAGAUGCAUUGGGGUAGAAGCACGAAAAACAAACCAUGAAGCACGAAGCAAUUCUUGAAUAGACUAACGUAUGUAAUUAUAUUUGAAAAGAAUUUGUAGUUUGAUUGCAAACAAUGUGAAGCAGCAAAAAAGAAUUUGUAGUUUCAUGAGGAACCAUUACACUAUGUUUGG
rnacentral:sRNA from 1 species